rnacentral:rRNA from 1 species
UUAAGCGACUAAGCGUACACGGUGGAUGCCCUGGCAGUCAGAGGCGAUGAAGGACGUGCUAAUCUGCGAUAAGCGUCGGUAAGGUGAUAUGAACCGUUAUAACCGGCGAUUUCCGAAUGGGGAAACCCAGUGUGUUUCGACACACUAUCAUUAACUGAAUCCAUAGGUUAAUGAGGCGAACCGGGGGAACUGAAACAUCUAAGUACCCCGAGGAAAAGAAAUCAACCGAGAUUCCCCCAGUAGCGGCGAGCGAACGGGGAGGAGCCCAGAGCCUGAAUCAGUGUGUGUGUUAGUGGAAGCGUCUGGAAAGGCGCGCGAUACAGGGUGACAGCCCCGUACACAAAAAUGCACAUGCUGUGAGCUCGAUGAGUAGGGCGGGACACGUGGUAUCCUGUCUGAAUAUGGGGGGACCAUCCUCCAAGGCUAAAUACUCCUGACUGACCGAUAGUGAACCAGUACCGUGAGGGAAAGGCGAAAAGAACCCCGGCGAGGGGAGUGAAAAAGAACCUGAAACCGUGUACGUACAAGCAGUGGGAGCACAGAGCAAUCUGUGUGACUGCGUACCUUUUGUAUAAUGGGUCAGCGACUUAUAUUCUGUAGCAAGGUUAACCGAAUAGGGGAGCCGAAGGGAAACCGAGUCUUAACUGGGCGUUAAGUUGCAGGGUAUAGACCCGAAACCCGGUGAUCUAGCCAUGGGCAGGUUGAAGGUUGGGUAACACUAACUGGAGGACCGAACCGACUAAUGUUGAAAAUUAGCGGAUGACUUGUGGCUGGGGGUGAAAGGCCAAUCAAACCGGGAGAUAGCUGGUUCUCCCCGAAAGCUAUUUAGGUAGCGCCUCGUGAAUUCAUCUCCGGGGGUAGAGCACUGUUUCGGCAAGGGGGUCAUCCCGACUUACCAACCCGAUGCAAACUGCGAAUACCGGAGAAUGUUAUCACGGGAGACACACGGCGGGUGCUAACGUCCGUCGUGAAGAGGGAAACAACCCAGACCGCCAGCUAAGGUCCCAAAGUCAUGGUUAAGUGGGAAACGAUGUGGGAAGGCCCAGACAGCCAGGAUGUUGGCUUAGAAGCAGCCAUCAUUUAAAGAAAGCGUAAUAGCUCACUGGUCGAGUCGGCCUGCGCGGAAGAUGUAACGGGGCUAAACCAUGCACCGAAGCUGCGGCAGCGACACUGUGUGUUGUUGGGUAGGGGAGCGUUCUGUAAGCCUGUGAAGGUGUGCUGUGAGGCAUGCUGGAGGUAUCAGAAGUGCGAAUGCUGACAUAAGUAACGAUAAAGCGGGUGAAAAGCCCGCUCGCCGGAAGACCAAGGGUUCCUGUCCAACGUUAAUCGGGGCAGGGUGAGUCGACCCCUAAGGCGAGGCCGAAAGGCGUAGUCGAUGGGAAACAGGUUAAUAUUCCUGUACUUGGUGUUACUGCGAAGGGGGGACGGAGAAGGCUAUGUUGGCCGGGCGACGGUUGUCCCGGUUUAAGCGUGUAGGCUGGUUUUCCAGGCAAAUCCGGAAAAUCAAGGCUGAGGCGUGAUGACGAGGCACUACGGUGCUGAAGCAACAAAUGCCCUGCUUCCAGGAAAAGCCUCUAAGCAUCAGGUAACAUCAAAUCGUACCCCAAACCGACACAGGUGGUCAGGUAGAGAAUACCAAGGCGCUUGAGAGAACUCGGGUGAAGGAACUAGGCAAAAUGGUGCCGUAACUUCGGGAGAAGGCACGCUGAUAUGUAGGUGAAGUCCCUCGCGGAUGGAGCUGAAAUCAGUGAAGAUACCAGCUGGCUGCAACUGUUUAUUAAAAACACAGCACUGUGCAAACACGAAAGUGGACGUAUACGGUGUGACGCCUGCCCGGUGCCGGAAGGUUAAUUGAUGGGGUCAGCGCAAGCGAAGCUCUUGAUCGAAGCCCCGGUAAACGGCGGCCGUAACUAUAACGGUCCUAAGGUAGCGAAAUUCCUUGUCGGGUAAGUUCCGACCUGCACGAAUGGCGUAAUGAUGGCCAGGCUGUCUCCACCCGAGACUCAGUGAAAUUGAACUCGCUGUGAAGAUGCAGUGUACCCGCGGCAAGACGGAAAGACCCCGUGAACCUUUACUAUAGCUUGACACUGAACAUUGAGCCUUGAUGUGUAGGAUAGGUGGGAGGCUUUGAAGUGUGGACGCCAGUCUGCAUGGAGCCGACCUUGAAAUACCACCCUUUAAUGUUUGAUGUUCUAACGUGGACCCGUGAUCCGGGUUGCGGACAGUGUCUGGUGGGUAGUUUGACUGGGGCGGUCUCCUCCUAAAGAGUAACGGAGGAGCACGAAGGUUGGCUAAUCCUGGUCGGACAUCAGGAGGUUAGUGCAAUGGCAUAAGCCAGCUUGACUGCGAGCGUGACGGCGCGAGCAGGUGCGAAAGCAGGUCAUAGUGAUCCGGUGGUUCUGAAUGGAAGGGCCAUCGCUCAACGGAUAAAAGGUACUCCGGGGAUAACAGGCUGAUACCGCCCAAGAGUUCAUAUCGACGGCGGUGUUUGGCACCUCGAUGUCGGCUCAUCACAUCCUGGGGCUGAAGUAGGUCCCAAGGGUAUGGCUGUUCGCCAUUUAAAGUGGUACGCGAGCUGGGUUUAGAACGUCGUGAGACAGUUCGGUCCCUAUCUGCCGUGGGCGCUGGAGAACUGAGGGGGGCUGCUCCUAGUACGAGAGGACCGGAGUGGACGCAUCACUGGUGUUCGGGUUGUCAUGCCAAUGGCACUGCCCGGUAGCUAAAUGCGGAAGAGAUAAGUGCUGAAAGCAUCUAAGCACGAAACUUGCCCCGAGAUGAGUUCUCCCUGACCCUUUAAGGGUCCUGAAGGAACGUUGAAGACGACGACGUUGAUAGGCCGGGUGUGUAAGCGCAGCGAUGCGUUGAGCUAACCGGUACUAAUGAACCGUGAGGCUUAACCUU